rnacentral:lncRNA from 1 species
AGCUGCACCCACGGCAUAUGGAAGUUCCCAGGCUACGAGUCAAAUCGGAGCUGCAGCUGCCGGCCUGCGCCACAGCCACAACAACAUGGGAUCCAAGCCGUAUCUGUGAUCUACAUCACAGCUCACAGCAAUGCUGGAUCCUUAACCCACUGAGCAAGGCCAGGGAUGGAACCCUCGUCCUCAUGGAUCCUAGUUGAGUUCCUUAACUGCUAAGCCAGGAAGGCAACUCCCAGUUUCUGCAUUUUAAAGCUAAGCUGAGACUGGGGAGGUUGCCCACAGUCAGGCAGCUAGACAUGGACAGGUCAGUGAUAUGAACCCAGGCACCCUGGCUCCAGAGUCUAUCUUCUGACCAUCACACUAUGCUUCCUCUCUUUUUAAUAAAAAGCAAAUCCACCAUCACUCUGCUGCUUGACAACCUCGGAUAGAUAGCGUGUCCCCGCAGUUAGAAGACAAUUCUAGGAUUUGCCUCUGUGGCACAACAGGAUAGAUUGUGUCCCUGCAGUGGCAGGAAUUCAAGUUCGAUCCCCAGCCCAGUGGAUUAAGGAUCCAGUGUUGCUGCAGCUGUGGGUGUGACUGAGGCCGACGUCACAACCGCAGCUCAGAUUCAAUCCCUGGCCCUGGAACUCCAUAUGCUGCCGGGUGGCCAAAAAAGAAAAGAAAAAAAUUUUUAAAAAGAGACAGUUCUAACUCUUUUGAUGGGUUUUAAUGGCCUCUGUGAAUUGGUCGCUGCUUCUGUCGACCCCCAGCCACACGACCCCCAGCCACACGACCCCCGUCUCUGAUAGGCCUCUUCCUCAGGUCCCCUCGUGGCUGCCUCUGUCACACCCUUCAGAUCUCUAUGUAGUGUCCCUUCCUCGAAGGGCCUCCCCUGACCACCUGUCAAUGAGCUCUCCUCUGAACUUCUCCCUCAUAACAUUCCAUUCGUCUUUAUUAUUAUUAUUAUUAUUUUGUAUUUUCUAGGGCCGCUCAUGUGGCAUAUGGAGGUUCCCAGGCUAGGGGUCAAAUCAGAGCUGUAGCCACCGGCUUACACCAGAGCCGCAGCAACAUGGGAUCCGAGCUGUGUCUGCAACCUACACCACAGCUCACUGCAAUGCGGGAUCCUUAACCCAAUCAGGGAGGCCGGGGAUCGAACCUGAAACCUCAUUGUUCCUAGUCAGAUUCGUUAACCACUGCUCCACGACGGGAACUCCCAUUCAUCUUUUUGUAUUACCUUUAAUGCAACCAGCACUUAUGUUAGUUGAUUAUUUGCUUAUGGUUUCUCUACCUCCUCUGUGGGGUAUAAUAAGCUCCGUGGGGUCCCUCCGGCUCUCCGCCCAGCGCAGGGCUCGAUUAGCUUGAAUCCUCAGAGACACUCGUGGGCAUAAUAAAGGCAGUGCUGGAAGGUGACCAGGAGCUUCAUUCUAGAAUCAGACAGGCCAGGGUUUGACUGAAUCCUCUGAUUUUAGGAGAGUCGUGAACCCUUAUCUGUAACGGGGACGCAGUCAGAGAGCUGUCGUGAGGUUUAAACGAGGUAACCUAGCCAUCCGGCACCUGGUAAACCCCCAAGGCCUCAGAGCUGUCACUGUCCCCUUCAUCCUUGUCAUCCUUCUCAGGCAGCAUCACUGGGCACCAGCCAGCCUGUGGGCUGGACCACCCUUGGCCGGGGUCCUAUCCCCGUUCUAACCCGCUCAGGCUGGCAGCGAGGGGCAGCUUGGGAAGACCCAGCUGAGCCUGUGGGUGGGACAGACACAUGUGGUUGUCAAGUCCAAGUCCACGCUCCUCCCACCCACCUCUUCCCCUUCUCCCGGGCCUUUUGGAGCCUUGCCUCCAGGCCCGUCCCUUUCUCGGAGCUGCUCUUCGCACCAGCUGAAUUCAGUCAGUCCUUUCUUCGCCCAGCUUCCUUUCUGCCACUGGACAGCAUCUCGGGCAGUGUAAAGGCUCCUGGCCCCGCAGUGAAGAGGCCGUGCUUAGCAGAGACAGGUAUUUGAUGUUGCGUUGAGAUAGGUUAACCAGACUUCGAAGGAAACACACCGUGGCUUAAUCAUAGCACAGAGCUGAUAACCUCUUGUUUUCUCCUCUUCCUGGGUCACAGGAAGCCCUGAAGGCUCCACCCUUCCCAGCCGUUGCCGGCAGAAACCACCGAAGGGGAUAAGCACCAGAAACCACUGAAGGGGAUAAGCAUGUAGAAUGUGUGAAAGAGACAGAUGGAGGAGAAAACACGAGCAGGGCUUAAAAUCUCUUCAUCAGCGGAAAAGCAUGGGAAAUUGGCAAAUCGGAGAGGAAGGGUAGGCAGCCUUGGUCGCUUUAUGUUUAUUCAAAGUGAGAGGGCAGAAGCGAUUGCUUCUCUAGGGAGGGGCUGGAGACGUGUUCCUGGAAAAGUACCGAAUUAUCCAGGCUUCGGGCUGCCAACUCCUAAGCGUCUUCCUGCCUCCAGCCCUCCUCCACUAACUUGUAGUUAUCUGAGCAGUUUGAUGCUGUUCUCUCUUCCAGGAAUGGCUUUUUUUAAUUCCCUGUUCCCUUAGUGGCCUCAAGAACUCCUGCCCCUUGUAACGGUGUCAUCACUAACUUCAGUCCCUAGGUCUGUGCCUGACACGCUGUAGGCACCUCGUAAGUGCUUGUCGAGGGAGUGAUGGCUAUUCAGAAGCUUUUUGAUGCAUACAGAGAUUGUAAACAGGUGAAAAAAGGUACAUGGUGAGGGCCUAGAGCAGACGUCCUGCAGUAGGGUGGAGUCUUGAGGAUUCAUUUUCCCCAAAGGUGACAGAAGCUAAUAAAGGAAAUAUGUCCAACAAAAGGUUAGGCCUGGUCUUGGAGGAGAGUUGCAUUCCCAGUGACAGAGGGGAGCUUGAGCUGGCAGUGGCUUGGGGGGGGGCCAGUGAAAAGAGGUCAUGCCACACCCAGGAGUCUGGCAGAGGGUAAGAAGGUGGGGCUGGCAUUCAGCUCCCUCGCAACUAGCCAAGAGGCCAAGCUGGGGAGGCCACAUUUUGAUACUUUGUCUUUUUAGGGCUGCACCCCGGGCACAUGGAAGUUCCCAGGCUAGGGGUGGAAUAGGAGCUGUCGCUGCUGGCCUACACCACAGCCACAGCAACACGGGAUCCGCGCAUGUCGGCAGCCUAUACCACAGCUCACGGCAAUGCUGGAUCCUUAACCCCUGAGCAAGGCCAGGGAUCGAACCUGAGUCCUCAUGGAUACUGCUGAGCCACAACGGGAACUCCACAUUUUGAUAUUUUAAUGCUGAUGUUGUAAAGAAACCCUUGCCCUUUUCCCUGGAAGUGUCACCACUAGAAACAGCGUGGGGCCACAGACUCUUCUGGGCUAACAACCAUUCCACCUGUCUCUCUCUGUGGUUGAGGGAUGGAAGACGACUGAAUGGGUGGUGAAAGAUUUUCCAUAUUGAGGUCCACAAACACCCCUCUCUCUCAUCCUCCAUGAUGUAUGAGCGUUAAAAGCAUCACCUGAGGAAGAUUUUGGGAUCUCGUGAGAGUUCUUGAAAAGGAGCACAGAUUGUCAUCUUUUCUGAGAUGGUUUCAGUGAGGCUAAGCUUCCAUGAAAAGGUUAGACCGACGGCUUCCUAGCUCGUACAACCCUAUUCUAUCAUCUGACUCUAGGAUUUCAAAUUUACGUGUGUCGAAUAUUCAUAUGUGCAAUCAGCUUUGUAAUCUCCGCACAGUAUGUGUAUUGAUUGGCUUCGUGACCCAUUCGCAAUCACUUUGGACUUCACAUUCUUAUGAAGAUAAUCACAGCCUCUGCUUCACUAAUCCCUUUGUUGAAAUUAUUGCUCUUGGUGUUUAUUCCUACACGAGCGUUAAUGCCAGGAUGCUUUUUUCAUGCAAAGCAGUGUUUCCUGUCUAUCCUUUUCUCUGAUUGCGUAUCAGGAAAAAAGAAGGCAAAUAAGACCUUGAUAUUAGUCUAAAGGGGAAGGUGCUAAUGAGAGGCACGUGCUGCAGUGGAAGGAAGACAGACUAGGUAGAUGUCAUUCAUUUACCAAAUAUUUAUUGACCAUAACUGUUAUAGUCCUAGGUUAGGUGAUCUGGGUUCAAAUCCUAGCUCAGUCACUUCCUCGCUCUGUGACCUGUGACUAACUAUCUGGUUUGCCCAGGACUGUUGUUUUAGCGCUGAAAGCCCUGCAUGCCAGGAAAUCUCUUAAUCCUGGGCACUUUGGGACAGUUGACCACCUUAAAUCACUCGUACUUAUCUGUGACAUAGGGAAGUUGAUUGUUUUUUAUAUCAUGACUUUGGGGUCAGGAUCAAAUGAGAUACGGUGAAAGAUCUCUGAGUUGUUAACUGCCACAGAAAUGUAAAGUACUCUUUGCUUUUUUUCACCCCAGUUUCAUGGAACCAGGGGCUUGGAUCUAGAACUAGCUUUUCACACUGGGGUGAGACAGGUACUGAGGGGUAGGGGAACCCCGGACUCCUCAGCUACUGGGGUACUUUCCAUCUGACUGCAAAGUUUGGUGCCCAAGGGGGAGCUGACAAUACCACAUCAGACAAACUGCAAGAGGUCCAAACAAAGUGGCCAUGGGCUCUGGUUGUUCUCAAGUGCAUCCGUUUGCAAGCAGGUGUCAGGGCCACAGCAGGGGGGCAAGGAGUUUGGGGAUCUGUGGGAAGGGAAGGGCCAGAGUGGCCCCAUUGGCCUCGUAGAGGGACCUGGGGUAUCGGGUAGGUUCCUAGAACAUGAACAGGACCAAACAGGCACCAAAGCAGAGCCCAGUUCCCAGACCAAGACCCAACACUGGGGGCAGAUCGUCAGCCAGGAUGAGUCAUAGGCUGGGCCACCGAAUAUGGGCCUGAGGCGGAAGUGUGAAGAGUCUGGGAAAGGCAUUUGGGGGAGAAAAGUGGAAUUUCCCACUCUGCUGGGGUCACAGUUCUGCGUGAUUUUACUGUCUUUUUGCAGAAUUUUCUAACCCUGAGUAGCUAGCAUCUGCAUACUCCCACCUCUAUCUUUAUUCAUAUGAUUUUUUUUUACAGUCUUCUCAUCACCUUUGUGCUUAUUUUUUAUGAAAAUCAACACUUUUUCUUCUUCUUAGAGCUGCACCUGCAGCAUAUGGAAGUUCCCAGGCUAGGGGGCGAAUUGGAGCUGCAGCUGCAAGCCUAUGCCACAGCCACAGCAAUGCCAGAUCCCUGAGCCAAAUCUGCAACCUACACCACAGCUCAAGGAAACUCCGGAUCCUUCACCCACUGACAGAGGCCAGGGAUCCAACGGGCAUCCUCACGGAUGCUAGUUGGAUUAUUUCCUCCACUUUAUUGAAGGGAAAUGAGUUUCAGAGAACUUAGCUGAAUAACGUAUGUUUAUACCGUAAAUCAGGAAGUUGGCAUUUGAGCUCAGUUCUGCUUUACCUAAAGCCCUGGUCAAUUCCACUCUAGGAUCUGGCGUCUCAAUUCGGGCCCUUCAAGAUUUGAUUCAUGUAUCACUUGUUCAGCGUGUCAUCCUUCCUGCACCCUGGGUUACUGGUUCUUCUCAGAAGCAUAUCUUUAACCCACCAUGACUAUAAAGCAUCUGUCUGAUCCAAAUCUCCACCUGUUUAGAAUGUACUUUGAGUCAGUGCCACUCACAGCGCUGGUCUGCGAGCUGUUGGUUAUGAGUCCACAAAGAUAAAGCACUUGGGCCAGAAUGUAAAUCCACCACCUGACACUUUAAACAUUUUUUCCUACAGCAAGACAUUCUCGAUGAAGAAUUGUCUUGGGUGUACUUUCUGGCAUAAGUUCCUUAUCUCAUAGCGGAGCAGUAAGAACAGCGGCAAGAUGAACACGGAUCCAGAAAUGGGCCCUGCGCCAAGGACAACACUCUGAGUAAUGCUGCUUGAGCUAACAUCGCGUCUCCUUCUUCCUGGCUGCUGUCAACUUGGGAUGAUGGCAACAGCCUCAGAUGGUCUUCCCCACUGCCCUUGGUUUCCAAAUCUAUUUGUGAUGCUUGCCUACUUAAAACCCCUUGGUGGCUCCCGAGAAAGUCCACACUCCACUCCGAAGGCUCUGCUUUCUCUCUCUCUCCCUUGCCCCCUGGGCUCCAGCUUUCCUGCGGGGCAUGGGGCAGUUCCCCAGACGGGCCAUGUGCUCACCU